UGCCCUGUUUUACGCGGAAAUGCUGGGACCCAGGAUUGGCGGAGCCGGGCCGAGCAUGGGGAGGCAGCAUGUGCCCAGUCAGACCCCGGGCCUUGCUUGGGCAGGAGACCAGGGGGUGCCCUUCUAGGGAGGGGCACUCUGCUGAAGGGCACCUGCCCUUCAGCUCAAGGAUGGCAGCAUUUAAAUAUGGGCCAAGAGUAUGGAGGGUAGCAGCGGGCGAGGGCGUGGGAGACUCAGGGCGUGUGGCGUAGCGGAGCCCAGAGAAGUGUCCAUUCUCCACUCCUGAGACUCCUGCCCUCAGAGGACAUGGAGAAACCCGCGGCACUGGCCCUCGCUUGUGAGUGACGGAGAAACCCGCGGCACUGGCCCUCGCUUGUGAGUGACGGAGAAACCCGCGGCACUGGCCCUUGCUUGUGAGUGACGGAGAAACCCACGGCACCGGCCCUCGCUUGUCCAUAGAACACAAAACCACCUCCAGCCCAGGACCCCCGGCAAUGCUCAAGGACAUGUGUCUCCUGAAAUCCAUACGCAGUCCCAAGACCGAUGAAGGUGGAGCCCCUUGAGUCUCUGCCUCGCUGUGGACUCAAGGAACCAUCCUCCGUUCCUGCUGGUCUCAACGUCGUUGCCUGCCUGCAGCCUCUUUGGACACUUGGCAUCCCAGUGAUGCCUGCCCCAUACUCGACCAACCGUCCUUUCCCCACUCUGGCCCCGGAGAGGGCAAAGGCACCUGAGAAAGAGGAGGCAAAGCCCCUCUGCUUUCCAUACUCCUCCCCAGCCUGAGGGUCCAUGAGACCC
rnacentral:lncRNA from 1 species